rnacentral:lncRNA from 1 species
AGUGUAAUUUGAACAUUUUAAUAAGUUCUAAAAUGUCAUAACAAAACAAUAUUUCCUAUGUCUCUUUUUUUAUUUUCAUUUUCUAUAAUUAUUUGAUUUUUUCUAUUUGCAAUGUGAUUUUUAAUUUUUGGUUUCCAAUUAUUUUCUAGACAAUUAUGAUCCUAUCAAUUAAUCAGUUGAUCCACCUUAUCCCAACCAUAUCAUUACUAACUGAUCCUGCUACAAGUGAAAAAAAAUAAAGUGAUUGAAAGGUAAAAUGACACAAUGCAACGAGCCAAAAACAAAAAACGCUCUUCAUCCAAAAAGCAAAAAACCAGACACAAGGUUUCCUUUCUCAUGAUAUCAUCCAUACAGAGUAGUAUAUACUAUUAUGAGAGCAGAACAUUUAAAAACUGACAGCCCAGUCUUAGGUAAAAUUAUCAAAUUUCAAGGUCCAAUACGAAAUUUAUAAAAAACGUAUAAACAGAUCAUGACCAUUAUGUGUCACAUAGGUUCAAGGCCUAAAACCAGUUUGCCAGCACAAGUGAUCUAGCCCAGAUUGCAUAAUCUAAUCACUUGAAGCGACCAUGAAAGGAAAGAAAAGUCACAAACAAGAGGAGUACACUCUUCUGUUCUUUCUAUCUGUUUUCAUUUUGGUCAUUUUGAAUUGUCAUGGUGCUUGAAUACUCUUUCCUGUCUUCUUCUUCAACCAGUAAACAAAAUUUCAACCAUCCAAUCCAAUUAGUGACCAAAAAGGUCCAUGAAAGGAAAGAAAAGUCACAAACAAGAGUAGUACACUCUCCUCUUCUUUGUCUGUUUUCGUUUUGGUCAUUUUGAAUUGUUGUGGUGCUUUAAUUCUCUUUCCUGUUUCCUUUUUUUUAAUUCUUCUUCUUCUUCUUCUUCUUCUUCUUCUCAACCGGUAAACAAAAUUUCAACCAUCCAAUCCAAUUAGCAACCAAAAAGGUCCAAUAUUUGAAAAGGGAAGUUCUUGGCUUUGCAAUAACAGCAAAACCAAGAAGGAAAAUAGAACUGCAUGUUUUUUGGCAAAAAAAAGAGAACAUAGGACUGGCACCCCAACAAGUGAGCAGUAACAAUGUAGUCAAGUAUUCAGUAAGAAGCAGGGUUAACAAUGAUUACAUAUGGAUUAAAUAAUAAAGCAUAUAUAUCUGUAUCCACUUCUAACCAAGAAAAAUGAAUUUGGAUAUAGAUAUCAAAUGGACACUAUAUUUUUUUAACCAAAUUUGUUUAACAAAGUUGGAGAUGCAAACAGGGUAUAUGACGGAUGAAUUCAAAUGAAAUUUUAGGCAGAUGCAGAUGUGAAUACUAUAUGAAUCUUGUUUAACAAGAAACAAAUAAUCAAUAACUUUUUUUUCUUAGGUUAAUACGAAUAUAUUCAACACUUUCAGGUACACUUAGAUAUUCAGAUCAUGGUUUAUAUACUGGUCCAAUAUGAACCAAUGAAUCGGGAUGGUACCACCUCACCAACUAUACCACCCAGUAUCAUUGAAUAAAAUAAUAAAAUUCUAUAUCAUAUCAAGCUAUACACUGUGACACUGAUACUUGGCCCAAACAACAAAUAAUGAUUGUACAUGUUGGUCCAACCAGUAUAUCAUUAAAACUUAACUCAUUUCUGUAUCCAUAUCCAGAGGACAUCAGACAGCCAGAUUCACAUAUCUAUAUAUACAUAUGACAACACACAAUCAUAUCCAGCACAAAUCUGAUACAGAAAUAGAUUUGGAUAGAUGAAACUGACAAGCUUUCACGCCUCAUAGGAAGACAUGUCCACCUAUACUGCUCUAAGAAGCAAAUUAAACAGCAGUCAUAACAGUAAGAAUCAGCAGGUAACCCCUUCUUUAAAGUGAUAAGAAUCAACUAGUAGGAACAAAGUGAGCUUCCCAUUUAUUCUCAAGGAAAAGGUUAAAGAA